GUGGGGAAUCUUGCGCAAUGGGCGAAAGCCUGACGCAGCCAUGCCGCGUGAAUGAUGAAGGUCUUAGGAUUGUAAAAUUCUUUCACCGGGGACGAUAAUGACGGUACCCGGAGAAGAAGCUCCGGCUAACUUCGUGCCAGCAGCCGCGGUAAUACGAAGGGGGCUAGCGUUGCUCGGAAUUACUGGGCGUAAAGGGCGCGUAGGCGGACAGCGUAGUCAGAGGUGAAAGCCCAGGGCUCAACCUUGGAAUUGCCUUUGAUACUGGCUGUCUUGAGUUUGGGAGAGGUGAGUGGAUCACCGAGUGUAGAGGUGAAAGUCGUAGAUAUUCGGAAGAACACCAGUGGCGAAGGCGACUCGCUGGACAGGUAUUGACGCUGAGGUGCGAAAGCGUGGGGAGCAAACAGGAUUAGAUACCCCGGUAGUCC
rnacentral:rRNA from 1 species